GAUUGGGCAAUUACCCCUAGCCAUAUGCCCGAUGUUCCACGUGGGACUUAAAUGAAACAAUUAUAAAAUUAUAUGGCUAAAUUAAAAUAAAAGAAAAGAAGGAAAAAGGGGCUAAUUGUAACGAGCUGCAAAAACGGAGGGACCGCGCACGAAAUAACCCAUUUCAUGAAAACGCGCGGACCCCCUGGUGCGGGUCGGAUCGCGCGCGGGUCAUGGUGGGAUAAAACGGCGCCGUUUUGAUAGUUUUAUUUAAACUAAAAUUUUUACAAAAAAACAAAAAAAAAUUUCAUUUGCAGCUAGAAAUAAAAAAAACUAACACUUUCUCUUCUCUGUUAGGGUUUCAAAAUCCCUUUUGGGCCGUCGCCAUUUUGACCCCUCUCGCCGCUGUUCUACCGCGAUCGGCGGUCAGGCGCGGCUAAGCCGCUUCAAUCUCCCUGAAGCCGAUUUGGAGGGGGUUAGUGGCCGGUGGCAGAGAGCAGGUGCGGUGGCAGAGCAGGUGGACAGAGGGUCGGUGGCUGAAGACCCCAGGUGCGGCGCACCUAGGGUUGCUGCUGCUUUUUCUUUUUCUUUUCUGAACAUGGGGCAGGGUAGUUGGGUGUAUUGGGUUUGGGCUUUUAGAUUUUGGGCUUAUGGUAUGGUUUGGGUAUUGGGAGUUUGGGCUAUUGGGUAAAUUUGGGCUGUACAUAAACAAUUAUUUUAAUAGGAGUAAGUAAAUUACAAAAAAUGUAAAUUUAUCAUAGGUCAAACUGAAUUUUAGAGUGAACUUCAAUGUAAUUGAUUACAAAAAUUUUAAUCUAAAUUUCAUUAAGAAUUAACAA